rnacentral:rRNA from 1 species
CGUGUAGGCUGUAUGGCAAGUUGGAGGUGAGAUCCCACGGCUCAACCGUGGAACUGCCUUCAAAACUACCAAACUGGAGUGCGAGAGAGGAUAGCGGAAUUCCAGGUGUAGGAGUGAAAUCCGUAGAUAUCUGGAAGAACAUCAGUGGCGAAGGCGGCUAUCUGGCUCGUAACUGACGCUGAGAUGCGAAAGCGUGGGUAGCAAACA